ACGCCCUACGGGGGAAAACAGGGGAUCUUCGGACCUUGUGCAAUUGGUGAGCCUGCGUUAGAUAGCUAGUUGGUGGGGUAAAGGCCUACCAAGGCGACGAUCUAUAGCUGGUCUGAGAGGAUGAUCAGCCACAUCGGGACUGAGACACGGCCCGGACUCCUACGGGAGGCAGCAGUGGGGAAUAUUGGACAAUGGGCGCAAGCCUGAUCCAGCAAUGCCGCGUGUGUGAAGAAGGCCUUCGGGUUGUAAAGCACUUUCAAUUGUGAAGAAGGGGUUCGUGUUAAUAGCACGGAUCUUUGACGUUAACUUUAGAAGAAGCACCGGCUAACUCCGUGCCAGCAGCCGCGGUAAUACGGAGGGUGCAAGCGUUAAUCGGAAUUACUGGGCGUAAAGCGCGCGUAGGCGGUUGUUUAAGUCAGAUGUGAAAGCCCCGGGCUCAACCUGGGAAUGGCCUCUGAUACUGGAUAGCUAGAGUUUGGGAGAGGGGAGUAGAAUUUCAGGUGUAGCGGUGAAAUGCAUAGAUAUCUGAAGGAAUACCAGUGGCGAAGGCGACUCCCUGGCCUAAAACUGACGCUGAGGUGCGAAAGCGUGGGUAGCA
rnacentral:rRNA from 1 species